GACAUUCCAAUUCGUGUUAUUAGGUAGAAAGAUUUACCUACAAAGAAGUCUUAUCUUACAGUAUAUUAUACCACUAGUAUUUACUUUGAUAUGAUGGGUUUUCGAGUGGUCAUCUUUUUUAAAUUUUGCAUGUCACCAGCUCCUAAUUAUCCGCUGUAUUGUUUAACACAUCAGUAGCUUUCAGCAAAAGGCAGAAGUAUGAGACGCGGCCAUCACUGAAGUUUUUCACAGUGACCUUUGAGCUUUGAAGCCCGAAACUUUGUUGGUUUCAAUCUGCAGAUUGAGAUGUUUCUCACUGAUACAAGAAGAUGAAGUGAUACAGG